UAAGUGUUCAGCUCUACUAAAUUAACUUAUCAGUAUACCUCGAUUUUUGUGUUUAUUGCUGAAUGAUUACUGCAUUUAUUUCAGUUACGAUUGUGGCUUUCAUGUUUUAUUGUAUAUUGAAGAAUUCAUGAAGGAGAAGAUGUAUAAAAUCAACAGAAAAAUGGUGUUGAAAUUCAUAAAGCAGCUUUGCAUGAAUCUUCUGUACCAUCUUUUGAACAGAAUAAAUCUUGUGGAAUU